UAGUCAGCGCCAAGCGCUUACCGAGGAAGGACGUAUCGCUCGCUGUUGCGCCGCGUAAACUCGCCGGAGGUCGAAAAAUAUAGCGCAACCUGCGCAACUAACACGUUUUGAUACUAGAUAAUGAAAGCAUAUUUAAUUCAGACUAUCAGACUCAAUUGAAUACCAGUACAAAUAAUAUGGAAAAUGAAGAUACAAUACAUGGAAGACGAAUUAUAGAUUUUA